UGAGCAUAGAAUAAGAAAUGAAUAGAAGGGCAACUCACGUGUGCAACGCGUCCGUAAAUUUUUAUGCGCAUGCGUGAGGUCCGCCAUUACUCUGGCCAGUAACUGGCUGCUGGCGUACUAUAGAAUAUAUAGCGAAAGAAGAUGUUUGGGCUGGAAAAUCGCGUUUUUUGACCAUGUUUAUCAACGACUGUGGGAAUUUUGUACAGAAAUCGAAAUAUAUAAGGUAAGACAUAACGACUGGGCCGUUUGCAGGAAUUUAGAUACUUUUCUCGAGCAAAAAUCAACAUUUUAUACAACAAUGCAGUUCGAUACAAUUAUAUUUUGUGUGAAGUUUAUAUGAACACUCAUCUGAGUCAAUUGGCUAUCCUCUUCCUAAUAUUUCCUAUGAUUUCUUAUCAAUAUUGUCAUAAAACAAUCAUGUUACUAUGAUAAAAGACAUUUGCUGAGCGAAAUAGUGCUUUAUUAAAUAGUAAAACUGCAUGUCGAUCCAGAUCCUAAUAAAUGAAGAAUGAUUUCUAUUUCGUUCUAGCUUAUAUGCAGUGAUUACUUUAGGUUCAAAUUAUAAAUCCUAUUUCAUGGAGUUUUAAAGCAUUUACCAGAAAUUUUGAGAUGCAUUUUUUGUAAAGUGUCAAUAUUUGCAAGGUUUAUAUUUCAUUGCUGCCCUACUACAUGGGUUUUUAAAUUUUAUUUCAAUUUAUUUAAUUGUCAUUAGUGUACAUGUCACCUACACAGCAGCAGCUGCUGACCUUGCUAUCACUUUGUUUUCCUUUUAGUUUAAUUGCAGCUGAUCCCGUUUGCUUCUUUCAUUUCGAUACCCCAUUAUCAAUACCAUAUUGCUCAUAAGAUGGAUGCAUGUAUUGAUUUAUGUAUGAACAGCAUUAAUAUAAUUAACAUAGCAAUUGUAUAACAGCUAUAACUAAUCAAAUGAUAUCAUAUUUUUAAAACUUAGUAAAUGAGUGGACUAUUAUAUUAUUGUAUAGUAUUAAAUGAAAUAACAUUUGAAUAUGAAAAGAUACAAUUGAUUUGUGACUUGUGUUGGUGAUUUUAAUAUUGUAUAUACUAUAGUGUGCAUUUUGUGUCCUAAAUAAAAAUGAUACAUACAGUGGUGUACACAAUUUGGUCUGAAAACUGCACUUAAAUGUCAUAUAAUAUAUAUCUGCC